rnacentral:rRNA from 1 species
UCAGGCCUACGGGAGGCAGCAGUGGGGAAUAUUGGGCAAUGGGCGCAAGCCUGACCCAGCAACGCCGCGUGAAGGAAGAAGGCUUUCGGGUUGUAACCUUCUUUUGACAGGGAAGAGCAGAAGACGGUACCUGUCGAAUAAGCCACGGCUAACUACGUGCCAGCAGCCGCGGUAAUACGUAGGUGGCAAGCGUUGUCCGGAUUUACUGGGUGUAAAGGGCGUGUAGCCGGGCCGGUAAGUCAGAUGUGAAAUCCCAAGGCUCAACCUUGGAACUGCAUUUGAAACUGUUGGUCU